CCUACGGGUGGCUGCAGUGGGGAAUAUUGGACAAUGGGCGAAAGCCUGAUCCAGCCAUGCCGCGUGUGUGAAGAAGGCCUUCGGGUUGUAAAGCACUUUCAGUGGGGAAGAAAGCCUUGGGGCUAAUACCCUCGAGGAAGGACAUCACCCACAGAAGAAGCACCGGCUAACUCCGUGCCAGCAGCCGCGGUAAUACGGAGGGUGCGAGCGUUAAUCGGAAUUACUGGGUGUAAAGCGCGCGUAGGCGGUCUGAUAAGCCGGUUGUGAAAGCCCCGGGCUCAACCUGGGAACGGCAUCCGGAACUGUCAGGCUAGAGUGCAGGAGAGGAAGGUAGAAUUCCCGGUGUAGCGGUGAAAUGCGUAGAGAUCGGGAGGAAUACCAGUGGCGAAGGCGGCCUUCUGGACUGACACUGACGCUGAGGUGCGAAAGCGUGGGUAGCAAACAGGAUUAGAUACCCGAGUAGUC
rnacentral:rRNA from 1 species